UUGAAUUGUCGGCCCCGCUAAAGUUCCAAUCAUAAAAUGCUGAUUUAAUUUUAUCAUCUCUCAUUUUAUUUUUUCAUUAAAUUGACGAGUCACAAACGACUGCCGGAAAACCCAUUCCAUUCUGCCGGCCGAAGUUCUGCUGUUCCCAUUCGCCGGCGGUCGGAGCUCAGAAGUUCUGCUGCUCCGACUGUUUGCGCCUCUCUUGCUUGUAUUCUGAAGAUCUGCUGUUCACGCCAUUCCUUCGGAACUCACGCCGAUUGCGCCCCCAGCUCACGGUGCUGAAUUCAUUCGGUCCCGAUGGAUGAUUCAGCUCCCGCUUACCCCGCGAUUCCCAUCGAUCUGUUCGGGUCCAAGAAGCAUCGCGGCCUUGCGCACGGUGAGCUGGGUUUCGCGGAUUCCAGCGGCAACAUUGUUUUCAGGGUAAAGCGUCAAUCUUCAAGAUCAUCAUCAGAAUCCCAUCAUCGCGAGAGGAUGCUGCUUGAUACUGCAGGAAAUCCUCUUUUCUCCAUCUGCCGGGACAGUGAAAAGUCAUGGAAAGUGUUCAAAGUGGAUGACGGCCAAGAGAAGCAGAUAAUAUUGACUGCCCAGAGGACUCGACGUACCUUGACGAGAACCGAGUUAGAUGUAUUUUGCUCCGAUGAAAACUUGGGUGAUUCAAGCCCAUCUCUUAAGAUGAAGGGCUUUCCUUUCCAGAGAUCGUGCACUAUUUGCCGAGGUGACUCCAUUGUGGCACAGACAAGUCUAAUGCAUAAGCUUCAUCAGAUUUACGUCAGGAGGUCUAAAUUUAGGGUGACAAUCUAUCCUGGCUCUGCUGAUCAUGCGUUAAUUGUGGCUAUGGUGGUCAUAUUUCUGGAUGGAUGAGAAAAGGAGCUGGAUCAUCAUAAAAUCUUAAGCACAAUGACCAUGCAAAGGUAUCUGAAGGAACAUCUGGCAUCGCGAACAAGUUUACACUACGCAAUUUACUGGAGAGGAAACGGGAGAGAGGGAGAGGGGGGGUGGGCGGAAGCAUGUGAAGUAAACAAAUGAUAUCCCGAACAAGCUGUGGCCAGCGGAUAUUUAGAAAAGGAUUCAUAUCAGAGAAUAGAAGGAGGAUACAACAAUCACUUUACACACAUCACAGAGAACUCGAUUCUGGGUUUGCGGAGGAACCCAACGAAGGUGGACAGCUGAGAAUCAAAGCAAGGAUUGGAAGAAAAAGAUUGGCCAGGUAACAGAGGAAAUAAGAACGGAGGAAGGAAGCAAGGCAAUCAGUUCUAUCUAGCUCUUGCAAUUUGCAGACCCGCAACUUGUUCGUAUUAGUGCUGGAAAGCUUUCUAUGUAGUUUUUGCUUGAAUCUGUUACUAUUAUCCAGCUUAGGCCGGUAUUGAUAUAUUAUCACGCAUCAAAUACAAGACUUUUUUGUUGGAGUUCAAGCAGUUUUAUAGAACAUUGGGAGGCUUCUUAUCAUAAAAAAUGAUCCGCCGAAGUGUUAGAAUCA